GAUGAACGCUGGCGGCGUGCCUAAUACAUGCAAGUCGAGCGAACGGACGAGAAGCUUGCUUCUCUGAUGUUAGCGGCGGACGGGUGAGUAACACGUGGAUAACCUACCUAUAAGACUGGGAUAACUUCGGGAAACCGGAGCUAAUACCGGAUAAUAUUUUGAACCGCAUGGUUCAAAAGUGAAAGACGGUCUUGCUGUCACUUAUAGAUUGAUCCGCGCUGCAUUAGCUAGUUGGUAAGGUAACGGCUUACCAAGGCAACGAUGCAUAGCCGACCUGAGAGGGUGAUCGGCCACACUGGAACUGAGACACGGUCCAGACUCCUACGGGAGGCAGCAGUAGGGAAUCUUCCGCAAUGGGCGAAAGCCUGACGGAGCAACGCCGCGUGAGUGAUGAAGGUCUUCGGAUCGUAAAACUCUGUUAUUAGGGAAGAACAUAUGUGUAAGUAACUGUGAACAUCUUGACGGUACCUAAUCAGAAAGCCACGGCUAACUACGUG
rnacentral:rRNA from 1 species